GAUGAACGCUAGCGGCAGGCUUAAUACAUGCAAGUCGAGGGACAGCACAGGUAGCAAUACUGGGUGGUAACCGGCAAACGGGUGCGGAACACGUACACAACCUUCCUUUAAGUGGGGGAUAGCCCAGAGAAAUUUGGAUUAAUACCCCGUAAUAUAGUUGAAUGGCAUCAUUUGAUUAUUAUAGCUACGGCGCUUAAUGAUGGGUGUGCGGCUGAUUAGAUAGUUGGCGGGGUAACGGCCCACCAAGUCUACGAUCAGUGGCUGAUGUGAGAGCAUGAUCAGCCACACGGGCACUGCGACACGGGCCCGACUCCUACGGGAGGCAGCAGUAAGGAAUAUUGGUCAAUGGACGCAAGUCUGAACCAGCCAUGCCGCGUGAAGGAUUAAGGUCCUCUGGAUUGUAAACUUCUUUUAUUUGGGACGAAAAAGGGCCUUUCUAGGUCAACUGACGGUACCAGAUGAAUAAGCACCGGCUAACUCCGUGCCAGCCGCCACCGUAACAC
rnacentral:rRNA from 1 species